AUGUGCUUUGAGGAAUCAGGAAUGCAAGUGUUUCCUCUUGUUUAUGAAGCAACUCAGUUGGUUAAGGGGCAGACAACUUAUGAGCAUAGUACAUCACUACCUGUAUUGGUAUUCCAUUUUGACAAUGUUGCUAACUAGAACAGAAAUAACAUCUUGGUGUGGUACAGUCUGUGGAGACUUUUACUAGGAUAUCACAGAUCGAUUGAAUAUUCAACAAUGAUCACAGACCAUUCAAAGUUUGAAUCUG
rnacentral:lncRNA from 1 species